UACAUAGGGUGCAAGCGUUGUCCGGAAUUAUUGGGCGUAAAGAGCUCGUAGGUGGUUCGUCACGUCGGAUGUGAAACUCUGGGGCUUAACCCCAGACCUGCAUUCGAUACGGGCGAGCUUGAGUAUGGUAGGGGAGUCUGGAAUUCCUGGUGUAGCGGUGGAAUGCGCAGAUAUCAGGAGGAACACCGAUGGCGAAGGCAGGUCUCUGGGCCAAUACUGACACUGAGGAGCGAAAGCGUGGGGAGCGAACAGG
rnacentral:rRNA from 1 species